UGGAUGAUGAGAAACAAAA
rnacentral:snRNA from 1 species